AAAAAAGUGCCAGCUCAAAUGUAAGACUUAAAACUAAUAAAGAGGUUCCGGGAUUAGUUCAUCAACCCAGAGCAAACAUGCACAUCUCUGAAAGCCAACAAGAAUUCUUCAGAAUGCUGGAUGAAAAAAUUGAAAAGGGUCGGGAUUACUGUUCGGAAGAAGAGGAUAUCACAUAGCACCAAUUUUACCACUCAAACCAGGAGCUACUACUGUGUAAAUAGGUUACACCCCAGUUGAAAUCUUUGCAAAGGUCGGUUCUAUUCAGCGAACAGCACUAUAGCAAAAGAAGAUCGUUCCAUAUUGUACGCCCCAUUAAAUUACAGUGUUUCUUAAUGAACUUGCAAAGGAAUAUUGCUAAAAACAAACAAAAAAAACUGUUAUCGAACUUUCUUUGUUGCUGCUAGUUAAAACUUGUUGCAACUUUUCACUUCUCUUGUGUCCAGGUAUGCAGCAAAAUUCUGCAAUUUCACCUUAAAGAUACUGUUGGUUUUACAGAUGCUCUCCAACCUAUUUUCUAUAAGAUGAGGUAGUGGUGAACUCAGAUAACAAACUUCUCUUCUAAACUGGUUCUGCUUCUAAGACAAGCAUCUCCUGCCCUCUCUCCUUCCUCCCCAUCUCUCGCACGCAGUCUAGAGAUGGACUGAGCCUUGCUUCUCACUGGCAGUGUUGAGCUUUGGAGAUGGGAUGGUUGCUAUGCCAAGCCUUGUUUCUCUGCUCAGAAGAAGUAGAGAAGCUAUUAUCAAUUAAAAGCAUGCUGUGAUGUGACUCCUGGAAGUGACGUAGGAGUGAGUGGCAGGUUGUUUGAUUUAAUAGGUAUCUUAAUCAAGAAUUAAGCUUGCAACAUUGGCUUUGCUCAGAUGCAGAUGGAAGUGUGAUCACAAUCAUUUUGAAUCCCUCUUCCUCACUUUUUUUUCUAAGAAAAUAAACAUUUUACUGUUUUUAUGG
rnacentral:lncRNA from 1 species